GCAACGGAUAUCUAGGCUCUCGCAUCGAUGAAGAACGUAGCGAAAUGCGAUACUUGGUGUGAAUUACAGAAUCCCGUGAACCAUCGAGUUUUUGAA
rnacentral:rRNA from 1 species